GAAAAAGAUAUAAAGGUGGUAGAGGUGGUGACUGAUGCACACCUUGGAAUUGGUUCAGUAAUGAAGAAAGAUUACCCAAAUAUACACCAUUCCCAUGAUAUAUGGCAUGUGGCAAAGAAUUUGGGGAAGAAGAUUUUGAAGGUGGCUCAGAAGAAGGGGAAUAACAUAUUAUUGGAUUGGUGUA